rnacentral:tRNA from 1 species
CUUAAGAUGGCAGAGCCCGGCAAGUGCAUAAUUCUUAAACCUUUACAAUCUGAGGUUCAACUCCUCUUCUAAACACA